UCCGAGUCAGAGUCGGAGCACGAGGAGGC
rnacentral:piRNA from 1 species